rnacentral:tmRNA from 1 species
GGGGGUGAACGGUCUCGACUUUGGAAGUUGAUUCAGGGGAAGCGGGCCGAGGAAGCCAGGAUGAUCUCGUUAACCAAAAACCUGUGCAAAAAUAAGUGCAAGUACAACUCGCACUGAUUACGCCCUAGCUGCAUAAGCUAGCUCCGUAAUCCGUCAGCUCAGAUUCCGUCUUCGGUCUGAAAUCUGGCGUCGCUAGAAGGCUCUUUCUACAGUGGCGUUGCGAACGCUGUAGAAGAAACUUUUCGCAACUGAGUUCGUCGAAUACUUGUGUGUAUGAGAUUCGGAACUGAGAAAACGAUAAACACACUACGCCCGUAGAAGCCCUGUUUUAAUCCCGAAGGACCCGGGUUCGAUUCCCGGCACCUCCACGC